rnacentral:rRNA from 1 species
UGAGGAAUAUUGGUCAAUGGGCGCAAGCCUGAACCAGCCAUGCCGCGUGCAGGAUGAAGCAUCUAUGGUGUGUAAACUGCUUUUGUACGGGAAGAAACACCUCUACGUGUAGAGGCUUGACGGUACCGUAAGAAUAAGGAUCGGCUAACUCCGUGCCAGCAGCCGCGGUAAUACGGAGGAUCCAAGCGUUAUCCGGAAUCAUUGGGUUUAAAGGGUCCGUAGGCGGUUUUAUAAGUCAGUGGUGAAAUCCGGCAGCUCAACUGUCGAACUGCCAUUGAUACUGUAGAACUUGAAUUAUUGUGAAGUAACUAGAAUAUGUAGUGUAGCGGUGAAAUGCUUAGAUAUUACAUGGAAUACCCAUUGCGAAGGCAGGUUACUAACAAUGGAUUGACGCUGAUGGACGAAAGCGUGGGGAGCGAACAGG